UACAGAGGUGGCAAGCGUUGUCCGGAAUCAUUGGGCGUAAAGCGCGUGUAGGCGGCUCGAUAAGUCUGCUGUGAAAGUCCAGGGCUCAACCCUGGGAUGCCGGUCGAUACUGCCGGACUAGAGUUCGGAAGAGGCGAGUGGAAUUCCCGGUGUAGCGGUGAAAUGCGCAGAUAUCGGGGAGGAACACCAAUGGCGAAGGCAGCUCGCUGGGACGUUACUGACGCUGAGACGCGAAAGCGUGGGGAGCGAACAGGG
rnacentral:rRNA from 1 species